GUAGUCCUUUUUUAUACUGAAUUUUGAUGCAUACUCUAUGCAGAAAAGAAGGCCUCCUCGGACAUUAAGAAGGUACAACUAGGAACUUGGCAGAAGCUCUACAUAUGCAAAUGGAGGUUCAGACACAGCUCCAUGAACAGCUAUAGGAUUCCUACUAGAACAUGUCAUUCCAAAUUGCGGCAAUGAUCUUUCUACUCAUGAGCAGUCCUUUUUUAUACUGAAUUUUGAUGCAUACUGUAUGCAGACAAGAAGGGCCCCUCGGACAUUAAGAAG